UGCGUCCUCCCCCACGGCCCCCUUUUAAUUAGUACCACCUGGAUCUAGAAAUCUCUUAUCAGUGUCUGGUGUCACAAUAGAGAGCUUUUUAAAGCUGCUUCUGCACCUUAGGGUGUCACUACCGAGUGCCCUGGAGCUCAGGGCUGAGCUGAGCCAAGCCCCCUUACUGCUGAGCCUCCCUGUCUGCUGCAGCUGCCGGGGCCGGUGGGCUGCGGGAAGAGAGCUCCCAGGCUGAAGGCACAGGCUCGAGAGUUUAGCAUCCUUGGGGACCCCACCUUUCCUUACCUUAGGUGAAUUGCACCAUGACCCUGUCCUUAGUUUUCCCAAGAGGAUCUAAAAUAUUCCAGAAUCCCAGGGUUUGAACUGGUGUCAUCUAAGGAGCUCAAGCACUCACUCGUAUGGUAAGUCCAGCUCUCUUGGCCACCCGGGACUGGGGGGAGAAGGAUUGAGGGAGAAGCGCCUGCCCUGACUGCGAAUAGUAUAGGGUUUCUUUUGGGGGUAAUGGAAAUGUUCUAGAAUUAGAUUGCGGUGAUGGUUGCAUAACAUAGCAAGAAUACUAAAAGCUACCAAAUUAUAUGCUUUAAAAUGGUGCAUUUAAUGUUAUGGGGAUGACAUUUCAAUAAAAAGAAAAUAGGUAAAAAGAAAGAAAGCAAACAUCUGCCUAGGUUAAGAGCAACAGGUUUUGAGAAUAACGCUUCCCUUCCAUCUAUGUUCACAGCAGAUGGGCUCAGGAGACCAGCAUACUCACAACGCCUCACUUAGACCUCUGUUGCCCAGACCUUACACUGCAGGUCAAAGCUAUCACUGUGGACCCUUUGGGAAACCAGCAUGUCCCCUCUAUGACACAGAGUCACUUUUGCAUCCUGAUGUACUUUGGGGUCCCAGGCCUGGAAACUGAUUUCAUAUAUGAUGUGGCAUAUAUUGGUGGCUGCCUACCCAAUCCCCAGUCCCCUGUUCUUCCUUACUAAAUAGUACCCUUGCUUUUAUUCUAGGCAUCAAUGCACUUAGCUAAACGACUACAUUUCCCAUUGGUCAGGGGUUGCCAAUGAGCAUGAAGCUGCAGGCCCUUGGGUGGGGCUUCCGGGAAAGCUCUUUUAAAGGGGGUCAACUCACUAAAGGCCUCUCUCUCUUCUUUGCCCUCCUUCCUGUCUGGGACACAAAGGUGAUGGCGGGAGCUCUAGCAGCUAUCUUGGAUCAUGAGAUGAGACAACUUGGAGGAUGGAAGCCAUGGUUGAGGAAGAGAAAGAGCAAGCGAAGUCACUUACCUUCUCUGGACUUUUCUUUCCUCAUUCACCAGAUUGAAGAGUUGAACCCAAUGACCUGGAUGUUCUUGGUGAUGGAAGUUCACUCCUGCACACACCAGCUUGGCAUCUUCUUUACAAUAGAAGCCCAACCGGGGAGGCUGCACACGUUAGAAUCCAAUCUGUACUGACAGGUCUUGAAUGCUUUAGGUCACACUGGCUGGCCAUUAAGGGUUGUGAUGAAAAAUCCCAGGAAGCUGAAGAGUGAACAUGAUCAUAAUCUCUAAAAUGAUAAAGCAAUAAGAGGCUGGGAGAUGCAUCCAAAGUCUCUGCCUGGGCCAGAGGUCAUUCAAACCCAGCUUUGUCCUGGAAGCACAUUCUUUCCACUCACCACCCAGAACACCAUCUUCCUCUCUCUCUCAAAAUUUCCAAGACUGGAGAGGAGGACCGCCAGCCAGAUAGACUUGCUCUGAGGUACCAUGACUUUUGCAUGGGGUGACCACAGCUGAGGCAUUUUAGGGUGAAAGGCAGCACUAUUAAUAAUUAUCCUGGGGUGGCAGGCAUGAACCAGGAAUACUGUACAGAGGGUCACUUCACCCACAGAUGGCCAAAUAACUGGAACCCAAGUAUUUUGUGCUUUUCUGCAAAAUCAUGCCUUAUUUUUUAAACUUCCUACCUCUUUGAGCAAAACCAACAAAUGCUAUCAGAGCCACAAGGAUAUGAGCAACCCACAGCUCCCCAGGAGAAGGCAUGAGGGCAUCUAUGUGCAACAUGCAACUGCUCGGCUGGCUCCUGGAACCUGGCCCAUUCCACCUGAACUGAAGAUAAAUCUCACUGAUGACCACCUGAAGGAUGAGCUGAAUGGGAGACCGAGUGGACACUGGAGCCUCUGGAAAGACGUUGGUUGGAGAGCACCGUCAUGACCCCCUGUCCUUUCCUCUCUGCUGGGAUCAUUGACCAGUAAGACAAACGUGGCUCCCUGUUGGAGGCUGGAGAGGGAUCCCAAACACAUCUGGAGCUUUGAGCGUGAGAGGGACGGGAUUUUACCAUGUUUGCCCAGGCUGGUUUCAAACUCAUGAGCUCAAGGUUACAGGCGUGAGCCACUGUGCCCAGCCUGCUCUGCAAUGUGGAUCCACAUGUGAGUCUUCCCUGAGAACAACUGGUAGCCAGUGGUAUUUAGCCUUCUUGAUCUCGAUUCAAGAUUGAUGAAAAUAAUGAAAAUUGUGACUCUAUGCAGAUUGUACCCACUGGGUACCUAGUAUAAGACAUUUUAACACUCAAGUACCCUGUCCAAGAGAAAGCACCGCUCAAGAGUUUUUGAAAGCAGGAAUGAAACAGGAACAGUUCUUCGUGGUGCUGAUAAUACCAUAAACUGUUUCUGAGGCUCCAGGUGCUUUGCCCGCUGGUGUUAGCCCUGUGUUUAUUGUUUUUAGAGCUGGAACCUAUUGCCUCAGGGCUGAGUGACCGUGAAUUUUCAUAUCGAGGAUAAGAUACCAACUUCCAACAGAACACUGGUGGAAAGUUUGUCUUUUUUCUAACAUUGGACGAUUUCCUUCUCAGGGAGAAAGGAAUCAAUGAUGUAUUAUUUGGCAUAUUUUAAAAUUACCUCCAGGGGCUGCAAUGGAGCGUGAACAGCUACUUUCCAAAGAGUAGAUUAGGAAUCCAUUGAGCACCGGUGCCAAGCCCAGUCAUGCCUCCAACUCUUCAGUGUGAUGUGCUUAUUGACUUAGCAUCUGACAGAGCUGAAAGAGCCUUCAGUGAGUCAUUCUGCACGAUCUCCGUGUCCCUGUUCAACCCAAAUAUCUGGCACUCUCCGACAGAGCCAACCUCUUGCUGCCCUGCUCAACAACUCACAACCGAGGCUGAGCAAUCCCAAGCUCUGCAGUUCCAAGGCUGAGAAGCAGGAGAGCCAAUGGUGCAAGUUUCACUCCAAGUUCCACGUCAGGAAAUCAGUGUUCCAGCUCCAAGGCCAUCAGCUUACAGGUCACUAGACCUUGAGAAGGCACAUUUGGACCUGCCAUCCUGGACUUUGAGCCGGAUGUGGCAACUGGAUCAGAGAACAAAUACGCCUUGGCUUCUGCUUCUGAGGACCUAUCUCUUUUCCAAAGCUGUUCAUUGUAUAAACAUCCUUGGAAAGAUACUCUGGAACAAAGACAGUGAUAACCUCUGCUCUAAGAUGUGCACAAAGGUGAGAAACCCAUGGAAAUUCUCUCCCAAUAUCAGACUGUAUUCUUAGUUACAAGUAAUAGAAAUGGACUCUGGAUGGUUUAAGCGAAAGGAACUUGUUAAACCAAUGUAAGAUAUAACCUCUUCAGAGAACUACAUAUAUGGCAAUAUCUAGUUAGCCUGGGGAGGCUCAUAGGGAAAGACCUAUCAAUUCUACUCCUAGGAAUAUACCAUCUAGGAACCCUGGCAUGCAAAGACCAGAAAAAGACGUAUCAGAGGGUCUGCAGCAGUAUUAUUUAUAUUAACAAAACAUUAGAAAUAACUCAAACGUCUGGUUAUAAGGGAAUGUACAAAUCGUGAUACAGUCUUUCAGUGGAAUUCUAUUAGAGUCUCGGCAGUAAGAAUGAGUGAACUAAUAGCCACAUGCAUCAUCCUGGAAUAAUUAAUAAUCAUAGUGUUGAGUGAGAAAAAGCCAGCUUCAGAAGGAUACAUAGAGUAUGAUACCAUUCAUAUGAAGUUUAAGGAUAUACAGGAUGGCCCGGCGCUGCAGCUCACGCCUGUAAUCCCAGCUUUUAGCAAGGCAGAGGCGGGAGGAUAGCUUGAGCCCAGGAGUCUGAGACCUGCCUGGGCAAUAUAGCAAGACCCUAUUCAAAAAGAAAAAAUAAAGAAUAUACAGGAUGAUGCCAUGUCAUGCUCAGGGUUCCCUAAUAUGUAGUAAAGUAUUAAAGAUGCAUGAAAAUGGGAAUAUCAAUUCCAAGCAGUAUGUUGUCUCUCUAUGGGGAGGCAAGCAGGAUUUAACUAAUUUAUCCAAGUUUCACAUUUAAGUCUUAUUAUUGAUUAAAAUUCUCUAAGAAAUAAUGUUGAUUAGCUUAGUAGAAGGGUAGAGACAUGCAGACCUGAGUUCAGAGGCCACUGAGCCAGGACCAAGGGAUAUAAUCCCAGCACAUUCCAAUACAGAGUGGGUCUGGGGAGGACACAGCUGUUGUCCUGCUGAAGACUACACCCUCGGUACCAGCACCAGGAGCCCUGGCUCUGGACAGGAGUUGCCGCCCUAGCACUUCACCACUCUUCCACCAGGGGCUCAAAUAUCAUUGAGAAUCAUCUGUGGUUCUUGCUUCCUUGCCUCACUCACACCUGUUUCAAAGUCAAGGCCAUGUGAUCAUGCUCUAGCGGCAGGAGGACCGGAAAGGUCACCAGCUGGCGUUUUUGGCCCCUGUAGUGGGAGGUAGCCUCUGCCUCUCACUAAAAUUCAUAAGAUUGGGAGCACCUCAAACGUUGGAAGGAGGUUCAGAGGCUGGGUGCUCCAAAGAGUGGCAGUGUUCCUGACAAAGACCAACCCAUGUGGUCAGGUGGAGUGUGUGAAGAAAUCAUCCUAGGAAACAGGAAUAGAAGAAGUGAAAACAUUGAGGUGGUGUUUUUCUAGAUUGUAGGAAGAAAACAGUGUGAGGUAAAAUUUCAUAAACUGAACUUUACCUGGUUACGAGGAGUACGGAAAUGUCAAUCCCUCUGUCCAUGGUUGUUUUCUAAUGAGUUAUUUUUUAAAUUAAACUGAAGCGAUCUCCUUUGUUAGUGUGUAAGCUCUUCAAAGUCUAGGACCAUUCCUUACUUUGGAGAGAUGCCAUAUUUGCUCUGGGAAGCCAAGGGCAUUCAGGGCAGGGGGAACUGGGCAUGAAUCCUGAGUCUGCUGCUGCUUAGCUGAAUGGCAGUGGCUCCAUUAGACAGCCAUUCUCAGUCUUGGCAUGUUUGAAGCCAUCCCUGUACACUUUAUAAAAUUAGUCAUGGAAGAAGGAAGGGGAAGAAACUAAGAUAAAUACUGAAUGUGCUUGCUUGCAGCACACGCAGUAUUAAUCAUGAGGGCAGCCUGCUCUCUGACCUGCUUCCUCCUAGCUGUUUGGUGCCUGUUGCCUCAGAAUCACGUAGACCCUGCAAGAUUAUAGUUCCCCUUAACUGCUCUAUAGAUAACAGCCUGAAUGUUAUAAAGUGUUACAUUUUCCAUUUGAGAUAUUCUUUCAGGUUCUGCAUACCAAUGAAGCUACUGACGUCAGCUGGUCUGAAGGACCUCACAGGAGCUGACUCACCACAGAAUGCAGUUUCCACAUUCUGAUGAUUUCAUCCUUUCUCCUCUAACCAAUCAAUGACCUCAAUUUUCCAGCCCCUUGCCCUCCAUGGUCCCUUAAAUAACUCCAGCCUAGAGCUCCUCAGGGUGAUGGAUUUGAGGGCCUCCUUCCAUCUCCUUGCUCGGAGCCCUGUGAUCAUUAAACUCUUUCUCUGCUGCAAACUCUGCUGUCUCAGUGUAAUUGGUAUGUUACUGUGCAAUGGGCAUACCAACCUGUUGGUCCUGUAACAUACUCAUGAGCAAAAUGGAGCUUGCAUCCACUUCUCUGUGUGGUAAAGAUGAAAUUUAACAUGAAUAAAAUGAUGUUCCAUAGAUGUUCAGUAAAUAUUUCCUCCCUUCCCUUGGCCUUAGGCCCUUUCUGUUUCUCUUCAGGAUGUAGCACUGGGCUUAGAAAGCCCUUGGCUGGUGUUUGCUGAAUGAACUUGUUUUCAUCAUAACAUUUGUAGACAUGCUUCUUCCCUUUCUGUUUAUAGCUGCCAUGUGUGAGCUUAUCUAUAGCCCCUUUGCCAGCUUGGUAUAAUUCCAUUUUUCAUGGGCAGCCUUCAGAAAAUUCUUAUGUGCCAAUAUGACUUCCCUGUUGCUACUUUUCUUCAUUCACUAAACAAUUCAUUUAACAAAUGGAAAGACCAGAUAUGUGCUUGGCUCCAGUGGUAAAUGACAUGGAUUUCACUGCCAUGAAACUCGCAGCUACAAUCAGAGGGACAGGCUUGACAAUCUGCCCCCGCCCCGAAUGGUGAACUCAGACAAUGCACAGCUCUCACAGCCACCUAACCCAGCAGUUCAACAUAUGCAAUUUUAUUCUGCUGUUAUAAUAUAUAAUUCUCAGGGUUUUCUAAAACAAAACAAAACAAAACAAAAAGAGAAGUUUUCAGUUAAUUACUGUUUAAUUAUCAAUAUUUUGAGAAAAUGUCAUUCCUAUAUAUAUCUCCCAAUAUGCCCAAAGCACAGCUUUUAUUUACUUUUAUUUGCCAAGUCUCAGUGGUCUUUUGGGUAGGAAUUAGCCAGGUCCCAUUUUAAAUUUCCUGCUUCAUGUAGUUUCGAAAAGCUCUACUUCCAGUUUUAUCUCUACCUCUUCCCACUGAGAAGGAUCAUGACUACAACAGCUGCCACUGAGCACUGAUUAUGAAGACGGCAGUGAAAUUACUGUAUCAACAGUCUCAUUAAUCCAAUCACUCGAGAUAAACCCUGGUGGAAAUUAACAGUGGCUGUAAUGUAGCAGGGGACUGGCCCACUGGAAGCACAGGACGGACUGCUGAGCCCAUCUGGCUCCAAAUUCUGAUGUUCAAUCCUGCGGAGGAAGGGAGGGAAGAUGGGAAGGCACAGACUCUGCUUCCAGCAAGGCUGUUGAAAACAGGUCUUCGAGGAAUCACCACGCUGUCUUCCACAAUGGUUGAAGUUAUUUGCGAUCUGCUUGGAUUUUAAGAAAAGAGAGUAGCCAUCCAAGACAGGAAGAGACUGUGUGGACAGCAACAGCAAAGGGCUUGGAGGAGGAAGAAGAGAAGAACAAAUGACAGAGAAAGCACGGAAGGAAAGAGACCCAGACACAGUCAGUCAGCCAAUCCCCUGCUACAUUACAGCCACUAACAAGGAUUGUUUGUGCUGUGGCUGGGUUGUGAGAACCUAGGAUGAGUUUCUGCAACCAUUUCUGUGAAAUGAUGUGUUUCUGUGAAAAUCCUUCCUCCAUGUACAUGAAUUCAUUGUGAAGACCCUUGAGAGAGGGAUUCUUAGCAACUCAGGAGAGCUUUAGAGCAGGUAUUGUCAAGCUGGGAAAAGAGUGAGAUGCUCCCAGCAAGGGAUCUCUGUAUUCAUCAGCACUACAGAGCUUAGUUGUGGAAAAGAAAAUCAUCCCCCCAAAUAUGAGGAAAUACCUGGCAAUUACAGAGAAAAAUAUCUCUAAGGCUAUUCCAUAUUCCUUACCUUUAGGGUUGGCUCCAUGCCUGACAAUUGCUGUUGAGACCUUCCAGACUGUUCUGUGUACAGGCUCACCAGGUAGGAUGGGAAGAAAAUGAAUGGGAAAAAACAUCAUUACCUACCUGUAGCAAAUCAGCCUGCUCGUCCUCAAGGGAACAAAUUGUGUAAGAUUCAUUUGCAUUUGUGAGCCUCGGGCUCUCUAUCUAUGCUUUUGCACAGGGGAUGUUUAGCUUACUGGGGACAUACAGUGGAUGAGGUUAUAUCUUGGAGAUCCUCGCCUGCAGUCUCCCCUCCAAAGACGAUCUCUUCAAUGAAUGGCAUACUUGAAGCCACCCAAAAUUUUGAGUAAUUGUUUGAGGUAUUUUAUUUUAUUUAAAUUUUAUUUUAAGUUCAGGCGUGCAUGUGCAGGUUUGUUAUAUAGGUAAACUUGUGUCAUGGAGUUUGUUGUACAGAUAAUUUCGUCACCCAGGUAUUAAGCCUAGUACCCAUUAGUUAUUUUUCUGGAUCCUCUCCCUCCUCCCACCCUCUUCCCUCCGACAGGCUCAGUGUGUGUUGUUCCCCUCUAUGUGUUCAUGUGUUAUCAGCAUUUAGCUCUUACUUAUCAGUGAGAAUAUCAGGUAUUUGGUUUUCUGUUCUUGGCUCAGUUUGCUAAAAAUAAUGCGCUCUAGCUCCAUCCAUGUUGCUGCAAAGAACACAAUCUUGUUCUUUUUCAUGGCUGCAUAGUAUUCCAGGGUGUAUAUGUACCACAUUUUCUUUAUCCAGUCUCUUAUUGGUGGGCAUUUAGAUUGAUUCCACGUUUUGCUAUUCUGAAUAGUGCUGCAGUGAACAUAUGUAUGCACGUGUCUUAAAGGAAUGAUUUAUAUUCCUUUGGGUACAUAUCCAGUAAUGGGAUUGCUGGGUGGAAUGGUAUUUCUGUUUUUAGGUCUUUGAGGAAUCACCACGCUGUCUUCCACAAUGGCUGAAGUAAUUUGCAAUCUGCUUGGAUUAUUUUGAGACAAAGGACCUCUGCCGGAGGUUGCGUUGUCUGUUGGGUUUGGGGUGUUCGUUGCAUUUGUCUCUGCAUGUCUGUGUCCAUUCUCUGUCUUUGGCUGACUUGCUGUGUCCGGGUCUCUUUCCUUCCACACCUUCUCUGUCAUUUGUUCUUCUCCUCUUCUUCCUCCUUGAAGCCCUUUGCUGCCACUGUCCGCACAAUCUCUUCCUGUCUUGGAUGGCUACUCUCUUUUCUCUCUUUUUCUUGGGUUCUGUCUCUUUCUCUCCUUCUCCGAUGUUUUCUGGUACUUAUUGAUUGUGGACCAACAGGACCUCUCUCUCUGUUGAAAUAUUUGGUCGCUUGGACUCAAUCUAUGACUUCUUCUGCAUUUUUCUGCAGAAUGCACUUUGUCUUGAGUAGAGCUUGCUGGGAGGAAGUGAUGGGGAGUGAACAUCAUUUUCUUCUGCAUGCGGCACGGUUCUCUCCCUUCUGCCAGACACCUAGAGGGAGACGAGGCUGGGAUUAUGCCGAAUUAUCUUUGCCUUUGAGAUGAUAUGGGCUGUGGUUGAGCGAGUUACUUUCAGGGAAACAAAUCUCAAGAAGGGGGCACAAUAUGACUUUGCAGUUCAGACACAGUUAUCCUUUGGGAUUUCAGAGAGCAGUUUACUAGAGGGAAAAAUCCUCAUUUCAGGCAGUUAUGGCUUUUCAUUAUCACAGGUCCCUGCAGAUGGCAUCAAAAGAAAAAUAAACAACAGGAAAAAAUGGUUCCCUUUCUCCUAAGGUCUGUGUGGCCCCUUGUCUGCCUGUACUCGCCACGCUGGGAUUGUGGAAAGCGGACUGAAUUUACCUAAGCUUGUGGAACUAAUCUGCACCUCUAAACCAACAAAGGCACGGCCCAAGGCAUCAAAUAGUGAAACGGUGGGGUGGUCAGGCUGUUUGAAGUCAGCAGACAGCGCGAGUUCAAGGUAGCCAGGAAGAGUUCCAGCUUCUUAUCUGGGUGUCAAAACAUUUUUAAUUUUCUUGGUUAGUGAUGAUAAGCACUGUGGACUCAGGCUCAGGAGGUUUGGCUGCUAGUUCACAACUAGGUCUGUUUCUCUGAUUUUUGUUUGUUUUAUUUUGUUUUGUUUUGAGACUCCAUUACCCAGGCUGGAGUGCAGUGGCAUGAUCACGGCUCACUGCGGCAUUGACCCCCUGGGCUCAAGCAGUCCUUUUGCCUCAGCCGCCCAGGUAUCUGGGACUACAGGUGUGUACCACAUAACCUGGCUGACUUUUACACUUUUUGCAGAGACAGGGGUCUUGCUUUGUUGACCAGGCUGCUCUUGAACUCCUGGCCUCAAGUGAUCCUUCUGUGUUUGCUCUAGCUAAGUGUUAAUGCCAGAGUUAAUCUACAUUAUGAGUACAUCUAUAUGAUGCAAAUACACACCCUCCCACCCAUGUGUGCAUUGUGUAGAUGUGAGUGUAGAUGCAGCCUAUCUAGAGUGUAGACAGAUUCCCCCUUCCCUUUGGAGGUGACCUGGCCCUGCUGCCUGUCCUACAGGCUUUGCUGGGUGCUUGCUGCUUCUCACCAACAGGCCUGGCGCUGCCAAGCGCGUGGUUCACACCUCCUCCGGGGCUCUGUCCCACCACGCUGCGGAGGUGUUACGGUCCCAUGCCUUCCAUCCCUGGGCCACAGCUGUCUUCCUUGUUCUGGACAUCAGGACAUGAAGUGGGGCUGCAUGGGCUUGUGGGUCAGAGCACAGGCUGCAACCUCUGUGUCUGUCUCCUCAUCCCUUCAAGAGGGAUCGCAGUCCCUACCUCAUAGAGUUUAGUGAAGGUUAAAUGAAAGCACUUAGAGGAGGACCUGGAAACGCAGAUUUAGAAUCAUCAGAGAGCCAGGUCAGCCUCCUGUGUUUACCCUCUUUCCUUGGGCCUCAGGAAUCUGACAGAACCAGUGAGCUUCGGUUGGGGCCUGCGAAGAGGGAGAGGUGCUCAGCUCUCCAGAUGGACGGCCCCACCUCCAGGCCUUGCAUCUCCAGGCCCAGGGAGUCUCCUCCAUUAGUUCCUUGGCGUCGGGCACCCUGUCCAUGCUGGGGACCUGGGCUCUUUUAUUAAACUAGAAAGCACAGGGGUUUACAGGGAUAUGCCUUGUCCCACCUUAGAUCUGAAUGAAAGCUCCAAAGAGGUUCCACUUCCGUUUAAUGGAAGUAAGAUCUGGAGGGAGAGUAUGGAAUUUCACCUUAUCAAAAGGAAAUUUCCAGCAGAGCCAGCCAAAGAUAGAAUGAGAGAGGCUAAUGUCGGCAAGGGGCAAGAGUUCAUUGGGAAAGUUGUUGGAAGGACUCUGGCAUUAGGUAAACAAUAGGCCAAGGUGUCUUUAAGAUUGCAUUCUAUUCUAAGGCUCUGUGUCUGUAAAAGCCACGUGGCUCAGCACAGCAUCUGGUUUGCUUCUUUGCUUGUUUCUUUAUGCCUUUAAAUAAGUUGUAGUUCUCUUUUACCAUCUUAGAGCAUGUUUAAACUUUAUGGCAGCAAAGCCCAGUGAGGAUUCUGAUUCUUAGUCCCUCCCUCCUGCCCAUCACCUCCUUCCUUGCUACUUCAGACUUUCUUGGCAAGGACCCAUCAUUCAUUCACCCAUCAUUCAUUCAGCGGAUGCCAGUCAUCUGCUGUGAACCAGGACAGGAUAGGCUGGAUGAGAGGAAAUAAUCUGGAUGAGAUGUGUUUCCUGCCUUCAAGGAUGUUUCAUUCUGGGAUAGGCAGACAGACACACAGGACAGAGAAAAGAAUUUCUUUUGUAAAAUAAUUUAUUUUCUGUUUGUGAGUAUCCAAAUGAUAUUAAAAGUACAUGAUAAAGUAGACAUCAUCUGAAAUCCUGCCCCUCUGAGACAGCCACCUUUGUGUGUUAACUGUAUGUCCAUAUGACAAAACAGAUGUAAACAAAAUGAUGGGAUGAUGCCUUAGCACUGAACAGAAGAUUCGUAUUGGAUAUGGUAAGUGCAAUGACGGACUAAAAACAUAGGGCAUUAUGGGAGUCCAGAAUUAGACUGGGGGUGGGACGCUUUCAGAACCUGAAAACAUUCUAGAUCCUUUUUCUUCCCUCUUUCUGGACAUCCCAGUUCUUUUUUCUUCUUUUGAGACAGGAUGUCACCCUGUCACCCUGUCUUGAGUCUUGAUGUCCUGGGCUCAGGCAACCCUCCUGGCUCAGCCUCCAGAGUAGCUGGGACUGCAGGCACAUACCACUAUAUCCAGCUAAUUAAAAGAUUAUUUUGUAGAGUGGGGUCUUGCUAUGUUGCCCAGGCUGCAUCCCAGUUCUAUGGUUUCCAGCCUAGUUCUCCUGGUCCCCUCAUUGCUGUUUCAGUUGUCCCUGUUUAGAAAAAUGGACUUACCUCUUCUCACUCAAAUCAAAGAGCAAAUUUAUUCCUUGAAGCAAUACAUGUUUGAAACAUACAGAUAAAGAAUAAGGCAAUAAAUGUUUGAAACAUACAGAUGAGAAUGAAGAAUAAAAUCCCACAUACCCGUGACCCAGCUUCAUCAAAUCCUAAUAUUAAGCCAUAUUUGCUGGAGAAUUCUUUAAAAGAAAUUACACAUUACAGAUACAUCUGAGGCCUCCUUUGUAUCCUUCUGGGAUCUUUUCCUUUCCCUCCCUCUCUCCACAAAGGGGAUCAUUCUCAUGAAUUCAGCCUUCACCUUUUCCAUUCACAUUUUUAUAUUUUUGCCACAUAGUCUAUGUAUCCAUAAAAAUUAUGAAGCAUUGUUUUGCCUCUUUAAAAAAAUUUAUAUAAAUGGUAUCUUUGUUAUAAAUAUGUCCCACUGUAUCUUGGAUUUUUUUGUUUUUUGGGUUUUUUUCUCAACAUUCUUUCUGGGAUUUAUUCAAAAGUGAUAGAUGUAGCUCUUGUUCUUUCAUUUUAAAAUGCCAUUUGGUGUUCCAGUGUCUGAAUACAACCCAGUUGACUUAUCCGUUCUUCUGUGCUGGGCAUUAGGUUAUUUCCAUUUGGGGGGACUUGUUUUGUUCUGUGUCUGUUAGGUACAAUCAACAUUCUUGAACAUGUCUUUUUAGGCUCAUAGGUAAGAAUUUCUUCAGGGAAUUUACAGAUUUAAAGUGGCAGAUCAGAGAGUAUGCACAUUUUCAGCUGAACUGGAUAUUGCCGACUUGCUCUGCGAAGUCCUACAAAUGUGUCCUCCUAUGUGCAUUAUGGGAUUUCCUGUUUCUCUCCUCUUUGCCAACCUUUGCCUGAUGAGUGUUUUGAUGUUUUGCCGGUCUGAUGGGUCUGAGGACUUUUCACUGUUGUUUUACUUUUCAUUUUCUUCAUUGCCAGAGACAUUGUACAUCUUUUCAUCUGUCUGUUAGCUACCUGGGUUUUCUCUCCUGGGAACGCUCUUCCUGUUGAGACAGCCAGGUAGGAGAGGGUUCCGGGAGAAACUCCAUUUGCAGCUGGGAGGAGGCUGGUGCCUCCUCUUGCUGUGUGGAACCUGGAAUUCCAGCGCUGUAGCGGGGACUCUGGCCUUGUGGAGUCACCCACCCUUUCCUUUUCACCCAAUACAACUCUCGCUUACUCACCAUUCAAAUUGUCCACAAGCCUGAAUUUUCGUGGCGGUAGGACAGAGAACCCCAUCUUUAGCUGAAGUAAGGAAAAGUCCUGCAACACUGUCUCUGCCCAUUUGUCCCAUGAACGUCACUGGCAUCUUCCCCGGGAGAAGGAGAAAGCAGCCCCUGGCAUCCAGGAGCUGGUCUGGGACCGCCAGCAAGGCCUGUUGAACAACAUAUUUCUUUUUUUUUUUUGAGACGGAGUCUUGCUCUGUCGCCUGGCUGGAGCACAGUGGCACAGUCUCCGCUCACUGCAACCUCUGCCUCCUGAGUUCAAGUGAUUCUUCCAUCUCAGCCUCCCAAGUAGCUGGGACUACAGGUGUGUGCCAAACACUUGGCUAAUUUUGGUAUUUUUAGUAGAGAUGGGGUUUCACCAUGUUGGCCAGGAUGGUCUCGAUCUCUUGACCUGGUGAUCCACCUGCCUCGGCCUCCCAAACUGCUGGUGAACAACAUAUUUCAUACAGCAUCAACAUCAGAUAAGGUCACACUGGGACCACAAUGGCUUAAUACAAAAACAAGACCCCUCUCUGAUGAUGCUGGAACAUAAAUGAUACAGGAGCAUUGCUGAAGCCACAGGACACCAGGCAUACCCCUGUGGUAGGUAGAAUUCUAAGCUGCCCCCAAGGUUUCUGGCCCCUGGUGUACCCGCACCUACCCCCAAUUAGCAAACAUUACUCUAGCUACUGAUAUGAAGGGAAUUGACGGAUGUAAUUAACAUUCCAAAUCAAUGGACCUUAAAAUAGGGAAAUUAGGCCAGGUAUGGUGGCUCAUGCCUGUAAUCCUAGCACAUUGGGAGGCUGAAGGGGCAGAUUGCUUGAGCCCAGGAGUUCGAGACCAGCUGAGCAGCAUGGCAAAACCCCAUCUCUACAAAGAAUACAAAAAAAUUAGCCAGGCACAGUGGCACAUGCCUCUAGUCCCAGCCUUCAGCCAGAUGGAACAUGGGGACCUCAGUCCCAUCGCUGCUAGGAAAUGAAUUCUGCCAGCAGCCAGUGCACCUGGAAGAGGAUCCAGGGCCCAGAAGACAAUGGCAGCCCAAUGCAGCCCCAGCCCAGUGAGAGCCUGAGAGAGAAUCCAGCCGUGCCACACCUAGACUACAGACCUGUAGUAGCUUCAGAAAUGGGGAGAAUACUUUGGUGGUGUUUUAUGGCACUAAGAUCAUGGUAAUUUGCUACAAAGAAAUAGAAGACGAAGACAGCCUUCUCCCAGACACUGGGAGUGAUCACUGCAUCUUUGCCACCCACAGCUUUAGCCUGAGCCUAGUUUCCCUCCUCCUAGGUAAGAGGCAUUAAGAUGCUGUGUCACGGCCAGUUGUGGUGGCUCACACCUGUAAUCCCAGCACUCUGGGAGGCUGAGGCGGACAGAUCACCUGAGGUCGGGAGUUGCAGACCAGCGUGACCAACAUGGAGAAACCCCGUCUCUACUAAAAAAAACAAUUAGCUGGGUGUGGUGGUGCAUGGCUGUAAUCUCAACUACUCAGGAGGCUGAGGCAGGAGAAUCACUUGAACCCGAGAGGCAAGGGUUGGGGUGAGCAGAGAUUGCAACAUUGCACUCCAGCCUGGGCAACAAGAGCAAAACGCCAUCUCAAAAAAAAGAAAAAGAUACCUAGUCACAGUGCUUCCCCUGCUUCCUGACAGCAUCCAUUCCUGAGCAAAGCCCCGCCUACUUAAGUCUUCCUCAAACCACCUAACACAUGCGCAAACCCCUGAACACCUUCUUAUUGGGACGCGCCACGCUCCUGAUGCAGUGUGUUUUCCUGGCCUGCAAUGUGUGAUAAACUGGACUUGAUCAGGUGCCUGUGUGUUCCUGUGGUCUCUGAUGGGAGAAUCAGGACUUCCUGCAAGGUGAGUACCACAGGCCCUGGGGGAAAAAGAACUGAACUGGACCUUUGAACUUUACAACUAGCGUUGGCACGCACUGGCCAUGUCAUACGAUGGAGUCACCUACGUUUUGGGAUCUUAGUUUUUUCACCAGUAGAAUGAGAAGGCGGGGCUGGGUGAUCUGUGAGGAAGCGGUGUGGUGGAGUGGAGAGACCUCUGGAGUCAGCCAGUCCUGGGAUUAAUCCUCCUUCUGCCCUCCCCAGCCACGUGGCUUUGGGUUAACAUUCAUUUUCCCCAGCCUCAGUUGCUUCUUCUCUCAACAGGUACCAAGGAACCAAACAGGUUUGCUGUGAGGAUUAAAGUAAAUGCAAGUUUCUUGAAUGACACAGACAGUUCUAAUAAUAUCUAGAUAAGCAAUUUAAAGACACACGAAUGUAUAACUUAUAAGUAUUUUGACCUCGGAGUGUGUUAAUCUUAACUAGUGCUUGUUUAUUUUGUUUGUUUUCCUUGUUUCUUUUUCUUUUUCUUUUUUUGGAGACAGCAUCUUGUUCUGUCACCCAGGCUGGAGUGCAGGGGCCCAACCGUAAUUCACUGUAACCUGGAACUCCUGGGCUCCAACUAGCCUCCUCCUGAUUCAGCUUCUGGAGUAGCUGGGACUAUAGGGUGUGCUAUCGUGCCUGGCCAAUAUUUUAUUUUUUUGUAGAGAUGGGGUCUUGCUAUGUUGCCCAGGCUGGUCUCAGACUCCUUGCCUCAAGUGAUCCUUCUGCCUCAGCCUCCCAAAGCAUUGGGAUUACAGGCACAAGUCACCUCACCUGAACAUAAAGCUUGUUCUGAUUACCUUAAGGUAUCAACCAUUCCGAGUAUCUACCGCCAGGAUGACGUCACUCACGGUAUGAUGCUGGUUCCGAGUAUCUACCGCCAGGAUGACGUCACUCACGGUAUGAUGCUGGUUCCGAGUAUCUACCGCCAGGAUGACGUCACUCACGGUAUGAUGCUUUUCAGGGGCCGGCUGUGAUCAGCUGUCAGAGGGAACUUCGUUUUGCAAGAAACUCUCUUUCUGACUUUGACUUUGGUCUUGUUUUCAAAUUCUUUUGUGCGGCGAAGUCGGGAACCUGAGCUGACCCACUGGCAACACAAACACUGCCCCAUUCUGAGGUCUUGGGGUUAGGGCUUCAGCAUAGGAAUAUUCCAGAAAACACAAUUUCCCAUAGGGCUUGGUUUAGAUAGUGUUGGAAUUCAUGCUAGGCAUAACUGAUCUGAGAAACAUUGAGUUCUGUAGAUUAACUGAGCUAUGUGGAGUAAAGGCUAGGCUGACGUAACAAGGUGACCCAGUGACAUUUAGUGGCUUUAAGACAAAGAAGUUUAUUCUAGUUUUUUUUUUUUUGAGACAGGGUCUUGCUCUAUCAUCCAGGCCAGAGUGCCAUCAUAACCCACUGCAGCCUCCACUUCCCAGGAUCAAGUAAUCCUCCCACCUCAGCCUCCUGAGUGCCUGGGAUUACAGGUGCACAUCACCACACCUGGUUAAUUUUUUUUUUGUACAGACAAGCUUUCACCAUGUUGCCCAGGCUGGUCUUGAACUCCUGAGCUCAAGUGAUCUGCUUUGGCCUCUCAGUGCUCGGAUUACAGGUGUGAGCCACCACGCCUGGCCAGAAUUUUAUCCUCUCAAGUUUAGGUCCAGGUUUCUAUCUUAAACCUCACCCAGGAGCCCAGGCUAGUGGGUGCCAUCCUCAACAAAUGACAUGAGAGUUACACAUGUCGCUUUCACCUACAACCCAUAGGUUAGAUCCAAGCCCCAUGGGCAUACCUGGCUGUAGGAAAAAUUGGGAGAUUUUUUGGAUUCAACCCUGCAUCCAAAAAAGUGGGAAGGAAAAACUGGAGGCCACCUGGCUUGGCGGAGUCUGCCCCAUCUGAUUCUUUAGUAGUCCUAGAGAAAAAUACACCCGGGUUAAGCUCCAUAUGAUUUCCUCUGCUUAUUUAUUAACUUUUUCAUUUGCUCCCAGGAGUCAUCUGUGAAAGAUAAAUGUAUCCUGUUCUUCAAGGAAAGCCUUGGUUGGAGAUUGAGGCUCUUGAUGGGAGGGGACUUGCCAGGAGACAGAGCUUAAGACGCUGGCUCUGCUAUGGAGGUCUGGAAGCUAAUUGAGCAGAAACAAGGAGACAUGGUCUUUGCCGUAGCGGACAGCACACACACCUGACUUGCUCUGGAAGGAGAUGCUCUCUAUUUACCACUGGUUUUCACCAGACAGACAUCCUUGAAAAGAUACCCUGGAACUAAGGGCUCCUUCUCAAGCUGUGCAGAAACGUGAGCAGCUCAUGGGUCAGUGUCUCCCAACAGGAAUUCAUCAGUGAGCUAUACAGGCUUGAUCUCUUCUGCUCUCUGCAAGCUGACAUUUUAGUUGGAGAUACAGGACUUUGCAUAAACAAACUCAACAGAUUGUCUUUGGUGCACUGAAGGAGAACACAAGCAUUAAGGUGAGACUAACCCAGGAAGACGCUACUAAGAUGGGAUGGUCGAGUGAGGCCUCUCUCAGGGGAGAGGCAAGCAAAGGGUACCAUGUGAUGAUGAUCCCGUCAGGGUCACUGCCUGAGACACUGAUCACACCUGUGGGAGUCUGUCCUGCAAACUCUGACUCCAGGACAGAUGAAUAAAUGCACUUACACACAAAGUCCAGUGAACGAGUGGGUUAGGGAGGUCAUCCGCUGCUCUCAGAGGGCAAUUGCAGCUACCCAGCCCCUCAAUAGCUGUCCUUCCUUGCAUUUAUUCAGUAUCAAUUUAAUAACAGAGGUUCUAAUUCAACACACUUGUGGAUCAUUAACAGGGUUAAAAGAGUGGUUUUAGGAAUGAUGAAACGUUUGGUUCUGGGACCCAGAGCCAACACCAUAAACAAGUAAUCCCCCUCCUGCUGGUCAACCUCCCCCUGAGAGGACCACUCGGCACCAAGUUUAUGUGAGUAAACAAGCUAGUUAGAGCAGAGACAAAGGACUGUGGGGUACACUGACUUAAAUGGGGAAGCUUCUAUUAUCCUUAAUCUUCACCUUAUGACCUAAUGCUCUAAGGUAAGAACUGGCUGCAUUCAGCCUGUUCCAUUAUUACAAGUUGAUGAAAACCUUUCAGCCUUCUAAAAGGUUUGAGACUGUAUCUUAUAACUUUCGGUAAUAUUUCCCUUAAUAUUUUGCCACCCACUCUGAGUGAAUCCCAGCAGUACCGCUGGUGGAAGCACGCUGCAGGCAGUAGGAGCUGCCUGCAUGGCUGUUCAGAGGCACAGAGAGCGUGGUGCGUGUGGGAGCUGAGAGGCCAGCGGGUCCAGAAAGCAGCGAGCUGGGGAAAAAAGAGGCUUGAGGCCUUGCAGCCAUGAGAGGUGCCAAGACCCCAGCCAAGGUGGGGCUGCAGAUUCCUUCAGGAUGGAAAGGAAAGGGAAGGAAGUGGCAGCUGAGCAAUUUGGACUUCACCAUGGUUUGCAAGUCGUCACCCAAGGGAACUGGAGAUGGCAUUCAGCUUGAAAGUUGUGUCAAGCAGGCAGCCUCUGGGGAAAGCAGCCAAUGAUCUCAUGCUUUGAAAUCAAGCAGACUGAACUCAGUGUGUCUGGACCCUACACGUUUCCUCUGAGGGCUUGAUUUGCAUUGAUUUGCAUCAGACCUGUAGGCUUUGUGGCGGAUGAAGGUGAACAGGCCAUUAUGGGGCCAGUCUCAAGCUGGGGACUUCUUGGAGGGCUCCCAUUGAACUAAAAAUAUGUACAGAUUUCCACACUUUGAGCCAUAGCACGUCCACGUUUUGUUUUAAUAUCCGCAUGCUUUAAGCUGUGUCUCUGGAGUACAGCUGGUCCUGUUGGCCUUUGGCUUCGUGUACGUGGACUCGGAGGCAUGUAUGCCCCGGCCUGAACUUCCAUCAGUUCUCGGCUUAACCUCACAUCCUCCUUGAAGCCUUUGCUUCGCCCCACCCCACUCCUGCCCCUCAUGAGUUCCUGUGAUGUCCUGCACUUCUCCUUCCUGAGACGACAUAGUCAUGCUGGUCUAUCUUCUAUUUUAUUUGAUUAUUGUUUUCAGGGAUUGGCGGUAGGUAGAAAUUGUGCUGAUGGAAUGUCUGUUUUUCUCUGCAGGAAAAGCUCCAGGAGGGUGGGCGGUUUGUUCAACUUGAUCAUGCUCUGAAGGUUCCCUUUCCUAAAACAGAAGCAUCGACCUGUUGAUGUUAUCUUUGUUUAUUGUCUUAGGGCCUGGUCUGUCUCAUUGAUCUUCAGACCCCAGCGGAGAAUCAUCACCUCAUGACCUUGGGAGAGAGGGCACAGGUGUCGUGAAAGGGGCAGGUGACAGUGACAGACUCACGUGCAUGUAUGUAGGUCUCAGCUCCCCCCUCACAAUGUGGGGACCUUGGCCAAGUCUCUUGGAGCCUUCGUUUAUGUGUAAAAAAAAAAUAAAGAUAGUCUAAUGAUGCUUUGGGGAUCUCUGUGGGAGUCAGGCGAGUUAGUAAUUGUAAAGUGUGUGCUUGGUUUUGCAGUCUUGCAGCAGCCGAUGUCCCCUUCUCCCGUCUUACGGUUUGUGGGCUCCUUGUUUGGGGGGCGUUACGAUGACGCUUCUGUCCUCAUCCUGCAGAGAGGCUUCACCUGCCAGAAUCCAAUUUCUUCAUCCCCAGGGACCUCACAAUUGGCCACUGUCUCUCAGCCCAUAUUUUCCCCUAAGGGGGCCAAUUUUCAUAUCCUUCAAAGACGUGGAAAUUAUCUCCCUACGAUUUGGGGGACCCCUACAUGAAGUCUUGUGUCGUCACAACCUAAGGGGAGUAUUUUCCCUGUGGGAGGUGCCCUAGCAGCUGUCUUGAAGAUAGUACUGAGUGGGCCCAGUGCAGUGGCUCAUGCCUGUAAUCCCAGGACUUUGGGAAGCCAAGGAGGGCAGAUCCAUUGAGGUCAGGAGUUUGAGACCAGCCUGGCCAACAUGACAAAACCCUAUCUCUACUAAAAAUACAAAAAUCAGCUGGGCAUGGUGGUGCAGGCCUGUAGUGCCAGCAGUUUAUGAGGCUGAGGCAGGAGAAUCUCUUAAACCUGGUGGGGCAAAGGUUGCAGUGAGAUCACACCAUUGCACUUCAGCCUGGGAGAGAGUAAGACUCUGUCUUAAAAAGGAAGGGGAGGGGAGGGGAGGGGAGCAAAGGGGAGGAAAGAAAAGAAAAAAAGGAAAAUAGCACUGAGGUGUAAGGAGUGACUGGCUUCAGUUUCUAUUUGUUUAGUAUUUUGGCUCAGGAGGCACAUGCUGGUGAGUCUAGUGCUCUCAGUCACUCUGUGAGCCUGGGGUCAAAAUUAUCUUCAUUUUACAAAUGAGAACACAGGUUGCCCUUGUCCUUUCCAGGGGCCAGAAAUCGAUAGAGCCAGGUCCUCCGCCCCCAAAGCCCUGGCUCUGUGCUACACACAUGGUUGAUCGUGAAGCAUUGGCCUGAUGGACCUGGGGCUUGAAGAGGUGAACUGGCCUCAUUCCCAAGUUCAUCUGAUUGAGGCACAAAAAGCAUCCAUAGUUUCAUUCUGGACUUUUGAUGCCCUCUGCGUGGGUGGCUCCUAUUUCUGAAAAGCCCAGUGCUCAGGGCUGUCCCAUGAACUCAGAAGGCUCCUAUUGUCUUUGGGAAAGUGAGGUAGGGACGGAGUGAACUGGAGUCCUUUGCCACACUUUUCCUCAUAUGUUGCAGCUUCUCUGCCAUCCAGGCCACUCUAUGCACAAUUUUUUUCUUCUUGGCUGAAGAUGCUAGAAGAUUAUAUCAGCCAGUGUUCUCUAAAGAAACAGCUAACAAAAGAUACUUAUCUGUCUCUCCCUUUCUCUCUCUCAUCUGUCCAUCUAUCAUCAGUCUAGCGAUCUAUCUGUCAUCCAUCUCUCUACCUACCUACUAUCUACCUGACUACAUUUAUUUUAAGGAGUUGGCUCCCACUGUGUGGGUGCUAGCCAGUCUGAAGCUGCAGGGGAGAUUGACAGGCUGCAAAUUCAGGUGAGUUGAUGUUGCAGUCUUGAGUGUGAAUUCUGCAAAACAGGCUGGCAACUCGGGUGAGGUUUCUAGGCUGCAACCUUCAGGAGAAUUUCUUCCUCUCUGGGAAGGAAAUUGGUCUUUGCUCUUAAGGUCUUCAACUGAUUGGAUGAGGCCCACCCACAUUAUGACAGAUAGUCUGCUUCACGGGACGUUUGCCGAUUUAAAUGUAAUCAUAUCUAAGAAAUAACCUCAUGGCAACAUCUAGACCGGUGUCUGGCCAAACAGCUGGGCACCGGGGCCCAGCAAGCCUGACAUGUCAAAGUAACCAUCUCACGGUGAAUGUGGGACUCAGCCACCCCAGUAUCUGCGGCCACUGCCCAUGUGGGUUCUCCUUUCUCCCUGCCACCUGCUGAAAAAUUCACUAAUGUUUGGAUGACUCUUAACUUUCCUUUGUCAUUCCAGAAUAAUUCUGGGCACUGUCUCAGGCUUCCAUGCUCUUCUUGCCACCUCCACUUGCCCACCUGUCACCUAAGAGGCUAAGGCUGCUCUAAGUUGGACCGAGUAUUUGAAGAUGAAUCCCUCUCUUGGCUACACCUGUUCAAACUUUCUCCAUGGACUUUUUUUAGAAAGCCGGAACCAAGCAAAUCACCUUCACAAAACUUGUCCAAAUGCCAAGAAGGCAAGGGAAAUUUAGUAUUGAUUCGAAGUUUACGAUUAUGGCUAAUGUAUUCAUGGUAGAUGACAUUUAUGACACAGCAAAAUUGUACAUUCAUGUAUUCAUGAGCAUAUAAUGGAACCUCUGUUAAUUAGCACAUAUAGUGUAUUUAUUCCAAGUUUUGUGUAGAUUUUUCUGGUGAGUAAUUUAAGAACUGUUUUAUUGAUGGUGAUAUGGUUUGGAUUUGUGUCCCCGCCCAGAUCUCCUGUUGAGUGGGAGAAGGGGCCUGGUGUUGUUACCACAUGGAAGGUCUUGAGUGUGAGUUAUGCAAGUUCUUGGUGUGUUGAAUGAAGAAUUGAACAAAACACACAAAGUAACAAAAGAAUGAAGCAACAAAAUCACAGAUUUAUUGAAGUGAAAGUGCCCUCCCUAGAGUGGGAACAUGCUGGAACAAGCAGCUCCAGAGCCCCCAGUUGCGGUGUUCUUUAGGAUUUGCAUUAGGCUAAAAGAAUCUGGUAACACUUUGACGUGCCCUUGAGAGGCCCCAGCUGGUUACACCCUAUGAAGGAUUGGCCCGUGACCAAUCAGAGGCUGAAGUGGAGACCAGGCCUGUGGUCAAUCAGAGGCUGAAGUGGAAACUUCUGUCUUGUUAUCACAGGAGCCAGGAAGCGGCCUGUGUGCAGCUCACCCUUGCCUGGAACUGGCUGCACCUGCUGUUCUUCCACGUGUGCGUUAACCCUUGGUUACCCUAAUUCCCUAUUCUCCUGCCUCAGUGGGAGGUGAUGGGAUGGUAGGAGCAGAGCUUCCUCUUGCUGUUCAUGCAAUAGUGAGUGAGUUCUCGUGAGAUCUGGGUAUUUAGCCGUAGGAAAUACCUCUCUCUACGCCUCCCGCUUCUUUCCUGCUGCCGUAGGAAGAUGUGCUUGCUUCUCCGUUGCCUUCGGCCAUGACUGUGAGUUUCCUGAGGCCUCCUGGUUAUGCUUCCUGUUAAGCCUGCAGAACUGUGAGUCAAUUAAACCUCUUUUCUUUAUCAAUUACCCAGUCUCAGGUAGCUGUUUACAGCAGUGUGAAAAUGGACUAAUACAGAUGGGAUGUCUUCACUUUCAGUAUAUUUACGGUGCUGAAUCAAUUUCCAGUUACAAUGUUAUUUCCACGAGGGAAGGACAGGCUGUUUUAUGACGUGCUUUAUGAAAUAGUUUUUCCAGAGUUCAUCUUGGCCAGUGUGACAGUGACUAGUGGCCUUUGACCCCUGACCUUUUCCCUCCCCUCCUCCUCCUUCUGCUCCGCUAUGCCCCAGUGUUGCUAGAGGGUGGCACCCAGUUACCUCUGGUGCUGAGAGGGAAGUACAGAUGUCUCUUUUUAUGUUUAUAUCCUGAGAAUCAGGUUAAAUCUAUUAAAAUGGAAUGUUUGCUUUGUAAGAAGGAAUUUGUGAGUAUGUCUGUCUUGAACUAACCUGUCAAAAAUAACCCCUGCUUAUUUUGAAUGAAAAAGAGUCUUCAAACAAAUCCUCUAAUUUGACUUUCCAGCGAAAGCCCCAGGUACUGGUUUACUGAUUUAUUUGGAAAGUUUUCCAGU